GGCUGGACUGUGUAAAAAGACAAAGGAGAACAACUCAGUCUAAAAUGACAACAAUAUAGAAAGAGAGGGAUUAAAUGAUCAGCUGAGAGUAACACAGCAAGUCAGGAGGAGAAGGAAAUUAAUCUAGAUUUUGUAGUGCCUCAAAACUAAAUUAAUUCAGUCACAGGAUUUUCUAAGUCUGAUCCCUAACUUUACAGUUAAAGAAAACUGUGUGCGAGAGGGACUAUUGAAGCACUCAUCUUGCCCAGCAUGAGACUUGAGGGCACUACAACACAAACCUGAUGAUGGCUACUGGGAUGAACACAUGCUUUUUUAAGGGUCUUGUGCUUUAUUGUUUCUCUGCCUUCAUCGUUUUCCUCCUUUAUGGAAUGAAUGAUCCUAUUCUAAGGAACAAACAUGGGAAGCUCUGGCAUAAUAAGAAGAAUUAAUUUACUGUGAGGGUGGUAAAACACUUGUAUGGGACCAGAAAGCAUGUGGGAUCUUCGUCACUGGAGACAUCCAGAACUUGUCUAGGCAUUACUCUGAACAAACUGCUGAAACUGGGCCACAUGAAGAUGCGCACACUUCUGGGAGACUCCUACCUGUGAUGACCUAUUGCACCACGGCUGCCUUUUGUUGUUAGUGUUUAGGACAGGAUGUUACCAAAAGCAUUUUUUAAAAAUUCAAGCAUUGCCUGGACUGCCCUAAGUAGGUGCUGAAGUCAAGUACCCCAAGAGCACAAGGAGCAACAGAGUUCCCCAGAUCUGACCCCGGUGCUUAGCCUGUUUCCAGUACACCGAUGAAAGAAGUAAUCUGAACUACCUCAAAAAACGUGUUAAUAAGUGAUAUAUUGCACUGGAAGAGGGAAAAAGUCUGUCAGAGGAACGCUUGAUGUUCUCAGGAGACCCGUUUUGGGUAUUUUAAAGCCAAACAAAUUACCAGAUGAAACCAGGAGGGGGCAAUGAGCACACAGAUAUUGUUGAUCUCUAGAAAGACCGAAGCUCCUGAAUGGUGUGUAUUUUCCCUUUUUUAAUCAAGGGGUAAACAUUUAUUUGCCCCAUCAUUGGUUCAAGAUGCAUUUGUGAGAUUAAAUAUCAUUGCAUUGCACACAGUAAGUCUAAGGGUCUCUCAAAAACAAACAGAGGUUUCCACACUGGUCUUGCUAAAAUAAAAAACAAUUCAGAAUUGCUGCCGAGAAUUUCCUCUUGGGCUAAAUGGAAGAAUGUGUUUAACUGGACAAAUUCCC
rnacentral:lncRNA from 1 species